AUGCAUGGGCAUGAUGAUACUCUGUCAGAAAUUACCUGGUUUCAUAGCUCAAAGCUGGUUCUUUUGGUGGUUGUAGAGGCUGAGGCAGUGGUGUGACAAGAGUUCUAGUGGUGUGACAUGAGUUCUAGAGGAGGUGAUUGCAGCUGUAAUGGAAGUGUUAGCUGCUGUUUGUGAUUUUGAGAGGAGAUUGCAUUAGAUUGCCAACUAGUUAUACCUUUUAUCCUUCAUGCUAAACAACAAUUGGAAGUGACAGUAGCAGUAGUGGAGAUGAGGAUCACCUUGGACGUGGUAGAGAUUCUGUUUAUGGUGUGAGAGAGAGACAACCAAGAGAACAAAGAAAAAGCGAGAGAGUUGACGUUGUAUCAGACUCAGAGCAGAGGGCCACCAAGCCUGAAAGCUUUAGGGUUGGAGUGAAAACCAAGGAUAUUGCAAAAUUCUUCACAACCCUCUUAGACAGCAGUAACAAAGCCGCUGAAAGGUUAAAAUGUGUUGCUAAUUAAGUACUGUAGAUACUCCAUUUUGCAACUUACAUUUGACCUCACCUCAUCACAAUUGUCAUUUCACAUUUCAGGGGUAAAACUGUAAUUUUGACUAUUUGAUUUUUAAUCGCAUUACAUGAACUAAAUGAAUCUUCAAGUCAC